CCUACGGGAGGCAGCAGUGGGGGAUAUUGCACAAUGGGGGGAACCCUGAUGCAGCGACGCCGCGUGGGUGAAGGAGUGCUUCGGCAUGUAAAGCCCUAUCGGCAGGGAAGAAGCAAGACGGUACCUGACUAAGCAGCCCCGGCUAACUACGUGCCAGCAGCCGCGGUAAUACGUAGGGGGCGAGCGUUAUCCGGAUUCACUGGGUGUAAAGGGAGCGUAGACGGCCAAGCAAGCCAGGGGUGAAAGCCCGGGGCCCAACCCCGGGACUGCCCUUGGAACUGCAUGGCUGGAGUGCGGGAGGGGCAGGCGGAAUUCCGGGUGUAGCGGUGGAAUGCGUAGAUAUCAGGAGGAACACCGGCGGCGAAGGCGGCCUGCUGGACCGCGACUGACGUUGAGGCUCGAAAGCGUGGGGAGCGAACAGGAUUAGAUACCCCAGUAGUC
rnacentral:rRNA from 1 species